rnacentral:tRNA from 1 species
AGCAUCGUGGGCUUGUAUACCAUGGCAGGGAUGUCAGCAUAUUGUAGCCAGUUCAGUCAGACGUGUUAAACGACGCCAGGAUCGAGCUCGUACGUAUCGAUCCUUAAGGCGACAUAUUGAUCGAUGUAUAUUCCCAUGGCGCCGCUGCAGACAGUCUGAUCACCUCCUACAGGGAGACAAACAACGAUUUGAGUCUGAGGUAUUUUAUUCUUAGCAAAAUCGUCACCUUAGGUCGAUCGGUACUCAGCUUUGAGCAUCAAAUUUGCAGCGAUGCAGAAGAGAUGUGAGAUUUUAGUCCUAAACUUUGUCUAGGUCACACCCUGAAGGGAUGAGACUCCUGGGCCAUUAGCUCAGGUGGUUAGAGCGCACCCCUGAUAAGGGUGAGGUCCCUGGUUCAAGUCCAGGAUGGCCCAUUCGGUGUUGGGGGUUUAGCUCAGUUGGUAGAGCGCUGCUUUGCAAGCAGGAUGUCAGGAGUUCGAGUCUCCUAACCUCCACUGACCAAACUGUAUCCCCAUCUCCAAAAGGAUAUUGGAGUAUGAGUUCGACUGGAGUGUGAUUUAGAUGUGUCCGCUGGAAGACCCCAGCUUCCUGUCAUUCUAAGGAUUGAUCGAAUCAAUUUUUAGUUGAUAAGAUGCUGGGCUCAAACUGAGCAAUCAGUUUGGAGUUCUAGCAGAACCUUGACAACUGCAUAGGUGAGUCUGGAAAGAAUAAAGCAUCUCAUGGAUGCAUCAUUCUUUUUUGGAUGAUGUUUGAUUCUUGAGCAAGAGCCGAGACUCCACCACGUUCUUCUGAUUGUGUCGAGCAAUUAGGAGUUUGAUUCUUGAUUCAGAAAUGAAUCAGGGAGAAUCUGUUUCAACGACAGCAAGCGUGUUGGAGAUUAUAUGGUCAAGCUACAGAGGGCUCACGGCGGAUACCUUGGCACACAGAGGCGAUGAAGGA